AUUGAACGCUGGCGGCAGGCUUAACACAUGCAAGUCGAGCGGAGAUGAGGUGCUUGCACCUUAUCUUAGCGGCGGACGGGUGAGUAAUGCUUAGGAAUCUGCCUAUUAGUGGGGGACAACAUUCCGAAAGGAAUGCUAAUACCGCAUACGCCCUACGGGGGAAAGCAGGGGAUCUUCGGACCUUGCGCUAAUAGAUGAGCCUAAGUCGGAUUAGCUAGUUGGUGGGGUAAAGGCCUACCAAGGCGACGAUCUGUAGCGGGUCUGAGAGGAUGAUCCGCCACACUGGGAGUGAGACACGGCCCAGACUCCUACGGGAGGGAGCAGUGGGGAAUAUUGGACAAUGAGCGGAAGGCUGAUCCAGCCAUGCCGCGUGUGUGAAGAAGGCCUUUUGGUUGUAAAGCACUUUAAGCGAGGAGGAGGCUACCUGGAUUAAUACUCUAGGAUAGUGGACGUUACUCGCAGAAUAAGCACCGGCUAACUCUGUGCCAGCAGCCGCCGCGGUAA
rnacentral:rRNA from 1 species